AGUGGGUAGUCCGCACGAGCGCACCCUAUCCUUAUUUGCCAGCGCGUUAUGGCGGGAACUCUAAGGAGACUGCCGGUGAUAAACCGGAGGAAGGUGGGGACGACGUCAAGUCAUCAUGGCCCUUACGGGAUGGGCUACACACGUGCUACAAUGGCGUAUACAGAGUGCUGCAAUACCGCGAGGUGGAGCGAAUCACACAAAGUACGUCGUAGUCCGGAUCGGAGUCUGCAACUCGACUCCGUGAAGUCGGAAUCGCUAGUAAUCGUAGAUCAGAAUGCUACGGUGAAUACGUUCCCGGGCCUUGUACACACCGCCCGUCACACCAUGGGAGUGGGAUGCAAAAGAAGUGGCUAGUUUAACCUUUCGGGGAGGACGGUCACCACUUUGUGUUUCAUGACUGGGGUGAAGUCGUAACAAGGUAACCCUAGGGGAACCUGGGGUUGGAUCACCUCCUUAUCUU
rnacentral:rRNA from 1 species